rnacentral:rRNA from 1 species
GGGUUGUGAGGUUAAGCGACUAAGCGUACACGGUGGAUGCCCUGGCAGUCAGAGGCGAUGAAGGACGUGCUAAUCUGCGAAAAGCGUCGGUAAGGUGAUAUGAACCGUUACAGCCGGCGAUGUCCGAAUGGGGAAACCCAGUGCAAUUCGUUGCACUAUCGUUAACUGAAUACAUAGGUUAACGAGGCGAACCGGGGGAACUGAAACAUCUAAGUACCCCGAGGAAAAGAAAUCAACCGAGAUUCCCCCAGUAGCGGCGAGCGAACGGGGAGCAGCCCAGAGUCUGAAUCAGCUUGUGUGUUAGUGGAACGGUCUGGAAAGUCCGACGGUACAGGGUGAUAGUCCCGUACACCAAAAUGCACAGGCUGUGAACUCGAAGAGUAGGGCGGGACACGUGGUAUCCUGUCUGAAUAUGGGGGGACCAUCCUCCAAGGCUAAAUACUCCUGACUGACCGAUAGUGAACCAGUACCGUGAGGGAAAGGCGAAAAGAACCCCGGCGAGGGGAGUGAAAAAGAACCUGAAACCGUGUACGUACAAGCAGUGGGAGCACCUUCGGGUGUGACUGCGUACCUUUUGUAUAAUGGGUCAGCGACUUAUAUUCUGUAGCAAGGUUAACCGUAUAGGGGAGCCGCAGGGAAACCGAGUCUUAACUGGGCGUUAAGUUGCAGGGUAUAGACCCGAAACCCGGUGAUCUAGCCAUGGGCAGGUUGAAGGUUGGGUAACACUAACUGGAGGACCGAACCGACUAAUGUUGAAAAAUUAGCGGAUGACUUGUGGCUGGGGGUGAAAGGCCAAUCAAACCGGGAGAUAGCUGGUUCUCCCCGAAAGCUAUUUAGGUAGCGCCUCGUGAAUUCAUCUUCGGGGGUAGAGCACUGUUUCGGCUAGGGGGUCAUCCCGACUUACCAACCCGAUGCAAACUACGAAUACCGAAGAAUGUUAUCACGGGAGACACACGGCGGGUGCUAACGUCCGUCGUGAAGAGGGAAACAACCCAGACCGCCAGCUAAGGUCCCAAAGUCACAGUUAAGUGGGAAACGAUGUGGGAAGGCACAGACAGCCAGGAUGUUGGCUUAGAAGCAGCCAUCAUUUAAAGAAAGCGUAAUAGCUCACUGGUCGAGUCGGCCUGCGCGGAAGAUGUAACGGGGCUAAACUGUGCACCGAAGCUGCGGCAGCGACACUAUGUGUUGUUGGGUAGGGGAGCGUUCUGUAAGCCUGCGAAGGUGGCCUGUGAGGGUUGCUGGAGGUAUCAGAAGUGCGAAUGCUGACAUAAGUAACGAUAAUGCGGGUGAAAAGCCCGCACGCCGGAAGACCAAGGGUUCCUGUCCAACGUUAAUCGGGGCAGGGUGAGUCGACCCCUAAGGCGAGGCCGAAAGGCGUAGUCGAUGGGAAACAGGUUAAUAUUCCUGUACUUGGUGUUACUGCGAAGGGGGGACGGAGAAGGCUAUGUUAGCCGGGCGACGGUUGUCCCGGUUUAAGCAUGUAGGCGGAGGUUCCAGGUAAAUCCGGUACCUUUUAACGCUGAGGUGUGAUGACGAGGCACUACGGUGCUGAAGUAACAAAUGCCCUGCUUCCAGGAAAAGCCUCUAAGCAUCAGGUAACAUUGAAUCGUACCCCAAACCGACACAGGUGGUCAGGUAGAGAAUACCAAGGCGCUUGAGAGAACUCGGGUGAAGGAACUAGGCAAAAUGGUGCCGUAACUUCGGGAGAAGGCACGCUGAUAUGUAGGUGAAGCCCCUGCGGGUGGAGCUGAAAUCAGUCGAAGAUACCAGCUGGCUGCAACUGUUUAUUAAAAACACAGCACUGUGCAAACACGAAAGUGGACGUAUACGGUGUGACGCCUGCCCGGUGCCGGAAGGUUAAUUGAUGGGGUUAUCCGUAAGGAGAAGCUCUUGAUCGAAGCCCCGGUAAACGGCGGCCGUAACUAUAACGGUCCUAAGGUAGCGAAAUUCCUUGUCGGGUAAGUUCCGACCUGCACGAAUGGCGUAAUGAUGGCCAGGCUGUCUCCACCCGAGACUCAGUGAAAUUGAACUCGCUGUGAAGAUGCAGUGUACCCGCGGCAAGACGGAAAGACCCCGUGAACCUUUACUAUAGCUUGACACUGAACAUUGAGCCUUGAUGUGUAGGAUAGGUGGGAGGCUUUGAAGCGUGGACGCCAGUCUGCGUGGAGCCAACCUUGAAAUACCACCCUUUAAUGUUUGAUGUUCUAACGUUGGCCCCUGACCGGGGUUGCGGACAGUGUCUGGUGGGUAGUUUGACUGGGGCGGUCUCCUCCCAAAGAGUAACGGAGGAGCACGAAGGUUAGCUAAUCCUGGUCGGACAUCAGGAGGUUAGUGCAAUGGCAUAAGCUAGCUUGACUGCGAGCGUGACGGCGCGAGCAGGUGCGAAAGCAGGUCAUAGUGAUCCGGUGGUUCUGAAUGGAAGGGCCAUCGCUCAACGGAUAAAAGGUACUCCGGGGAUAACAGGCUGAUACCGCCCAAGAGUUCAUAUCGACGGCGGUGUUUGGCACCUCGAUGUCGGCUCAUCACAUCCUGGGGCUGAAGUAGGUCCCAAGGGUAUGGCUGUUCGCCAUUUAAAGUGGUACGCGAGCUGGGUUUAGAACGUCGUGAGACAGUUCGGUCCCUAUCUGCCGUGGGCGCUGGAGAAUUGAGGGGGGCUGCUCCUAGUACGAGAGGACCGGAGUGGACGCAUCACUGGUGUUCGGGUUGUCAUGCCAAUGGCAUUGCCCGGUAGCUAAAUGCGGAAGAGAUAAGUGCUGAAAGCAUCUAAGCACGAAACUUGCCCCGAGAUGAGUUCUCCCUGAGACUUUAAGUCUCCUGAAGGAACGUUAAAGACGAUGACGUUGAUAGGUCGGGUGUGUAAGCGUAGCGAUACGUUGAGCUAACCGAUACUAAUGAACCGUGAGGCUUAACCUUACAACGCCGAAG